UAUUGGUCAAUGGGCGGGAGCCUGAACCAGCCAAGUCGCGUGAGGGAUUAAGGCCCUACGGGUCGUAAACCUCUUUUGCCGGGGAGCAGGGCGGCGGACGUGUCAGCCGUUUGAGAGUACCCGGAGAAAAAGCAUCGGCUAACGCCGUUCCAGCAGCCGCGGUAAUACGGAGGAUGCGAGCGUUAUCCGGAUUUAUUGGGUUUAAAGGGUGCGUAGGCGGGCUUUUAAGUCAGCGGUAAAAAUUCGGGGCUCAACCCCGUCCGGCCGUUGAAACUGGGGGCCUUGAGUGGGCGAGAAGAAGGCGGAAUGCGUGGUGUAGCGGUGAAAUGCAUAGAUAUCGCGCAGAACUCCGAUUGCGAAGGCAGCGUACCGGCGCCGCACUGACGCUGAGGCACGAAAGCGUGGGUAUCGAACAGG
rnacentral:rRNA from 1 species